CCCUUAGAUGUUCUGGGCCGCACGCGCGCUACACUGAUUCAUGCAACAAGUUUUGUCCUUGGCUGAUAGGCCUGGGUAAUCUUUGAACGUGAAUCGUGAUGGGGAUAGAUGAUUGCAAUUAUUCAUCUUCAACGAGGAAUUCCUAGUAAACGCAAGUCAUCAGCUUGCAUUGAUUACGUCCCUGCCCUUUGUACACACCGCCCGUCGCACCUACCGAUUCAAUGGUCCGGUGAAAUCUUCGGAUCUGAGAGAUGUCUGAUUAAUUUCGGACGCCUUUUGGAAAAGUUGUUUAAACCUUACCAUUUAGAGGAAGGUGAAGUCGUANCA
rnacentral:rRNA from 1 species